AACGCUAGCGACAGGCCUAACACAUGCAAGUCGAGGGGUAACAGAAGUAGCUUGCUACUAGAUGACGACCGGCGCACGGGUGAGUAACACGUAUGCAACCUACCUUUUACAGAGGGAUAGCCCAGAGAAAUUUGGAUUAAUACCUCAUAGUAUUUUUGAGUCGCAUGAUUUAGAAAUUAAAACUCCGGUGGUAAAAGAUGGGCAUGCGUUCUAUUAGUUAGUUGGUAAGGUAACGGCUUACCAAGGCGACGAUAGAUAGGGGUUCUGAGAGGAUAGUCCCCCACACUGGUACUGAGACACGGACCAGACUCCUACGGGAGGCAGCAGUGAGGAAUAUUGGUCAAUGGCCGCAAGGCUGAACCAGCCAUGUCGCGUGAAGGAUGACUGCCCUAUGGGUUGUAAACUUCUUUUAUAUGGGAAGAAAAGUAGUUACGUGUAACUAUCUGCCGGUACCAUAUGAAUAAGGAUCGGCUAACUCCGUGCCAGCAGCCGCGGUAAUACGGAGGAUCCAAGCGUUAUCCGGAUUUAUUGGGUUUAAAGGGUGCGUAGGCGGCUCUAUAAGUCAGUAGUGAAAUCUCGAGGCUCAACCUCGAACGUGCUAUUGAAACUGUAGAGCUUGAGUACAGACGAGGCAGGCGGAAUGUGUUAUGUAGCGGUGAAAUGCAUAGAUAUAACACAGAACACCGAUAGCGAAGGCAGCUUGCCAGACUGUAACUGACGCUGAUGCACGAAAGCGUGGGUAGCGAACAGGAUUAGAUACCCUGGUAGUCCACGCCGUAAACGAUGAUUACUGGUUGUAGGCGAUACACCGUCUGUGACUGAGCGAAAGUAUUAAGUAAUCCACCUGGGGAGUACGUCGGCAACGAUGAAACUCAAAGGAAUUGACGGGGGCCCGCACAAGCGGAGGAACAUGUGGUUUAAUUCGAUGAUACGCGAGGAACCUUACCUGGACUUAAAUGUAGAUUGCAUAGAUUAGAGAUAAUCUUUUCCUUCGGGACUAUUUACAAGGUGCUGCAUGGUUGUCGUCAGCUCGUGCCGUGAGG
rnacentral:rRNA from 1 species